UUUAUGGAGAGUUUGAUCCUGGCUCAGGAUGAACGCUGGCGGCGUGCCUAAUACAUGCAAGUCGAGCGAACGGACGAGAAGCUUGCUUCUCUGAUGUUAGCGGCGGACGGGUGAGUAACACGUGGAUAACCUACCUAUAAGACUGGGAUAACUUCGGGAAACCGUAGCUAAUACCGGAU
rnacentral:rRNA from 1 species